UACGAAGGGGGCUAGCGUUGCUCGGAAUCACUGGGCGUAAAGGGCGCGUAGGCGGCCGCUCAAGUCGGGGGUGAAAGCCUGUGGCUCAACCACAGAAUGGCCCUCGAUACUGGAUGGCUCGAGACCGGAAGAGGUUGGUGGAACUGCGAGUGUAGAGGUGAAAUUCGUAGAUAUUCGCAAGAACACCAGUGGCGAAGGCGGCCAACUGGUCCGGUUCUGACGCUGAGGCGCGAAAGCGUGGGGAGCAAACAGG
rnacentral:rRNA from 1 species